rnacentral:rRNA from 1 species
ACUCCUACGGGAGGCAGCAGUGGGGAAUAUUGGACAAUGGGGGGAACCCUGAUCCAAGCCAUGCCCGCGUGUGUGAAGAAGGCCUUAUGGUUGUAAAGCACUUUAAGCGAGGAGGAGGCUACUGAGACUAAUACUCUUGGAUAGUGGACGUUACUCGCAGAAUAAGCACCGGCUAACUCC